UACAUGGGGUGCAAACGUUGCUCGGAAUUAUUGGGCGUAAAGCGCACGUAGGCGGUUUGUUAAGUCGGAUGUGAAAUCCCUCGGCUCAACUGAGGAAGUGCACCCGAAACUGGCAGGCUUGAGUACUAAAGAGGGUCGCGGAAUUCCCGGUGUAGAGGUGAAAUUCGUAGAUAUCGGGAGGAACACCGGUGGCGAAGGCGGCGAGCCUGGGUAGAUACUGACGCUGAGGUGCGAAAGCGUGGGGAGCAACAGG
rnacentral:rRNA from 1 species